UGCUUUUAGUCAUAAGAAUUACAACUCUGUGUAAACGGUGUCGCGCAGAUACCGCAGAGAUAUGUCGAACGCUAGGGUGGAAACAGCAAGGAUACUUGCCACACCACUCUUCCCUCUAUCGAAAGGUAGAUGGACUAGACUAACAAGUCGAAAGCAAGAUGUAGUGCGCGAGUUGUAGUGUACAAAGGUAUUCCUCGUAUUCGUGGGUGCAAUAGAGGUGAUUAACAGUCGCUGAAUCCAAGUAGGUCAAAGGGUGGGAGAUGAACGCCCCAUCAAGCCUUGGAACGGUUCAUAAGCCCAUUAGCCGUGAACCAACGAAAGUUGGGUAUAAGAAUAGAGGAAGUUCGAGUAGCCUAAGGCUUUCUUUAAGGAAAAGCUAUUCAAAAAUCUGAUGAAAAUGUUUUAUCUUUUGGUGAAUUGCAGGUGAAAGUUGAGAGUUUACAAUCUCUUUAGAGCGGUGUGUUCUUCGGAACAAGGAUAGAAAAGUAACUGGGGUAGCUCCCCUAUGCUCACAGCUAUCUUCUCUAUGACUGAACAUGUAUGUGGCAAUAAUCGGCGUAAGGCGAAGGUCUGUAGUUUUUAUGACUAAGAG
rnacentral:ncRNA from 1 species